AGGAUGAACGCUAGCGGCAGGCCUAAUACAUGCAAGUCGAACGGUCGGUGGCAACACCGAUAGUGGCGCACGGGUGCGUAACGCGUAACCAACCUACCCACUACUGGGGAUAGCCCGCCGAAAGGCGGAUUAAAUACCGCAUGAGGCUUUGGUCCGGCAUCGGGCAGAAGCUAAAGAUUCAUUGGUAGUGGAUGGGGUUGCGUGCCAUUAGCUGGUUGGCGGGGUAACGGCCCACCAAGGCGACGAUGGCUAGGGGAGCUGAGAGGCUGGUCCCCCCACACGGGCACUGAGAUACGGGCCCGACUCCUACGGGAGGCAGCAGUAGGGAAUAUUGGGCAAGUGGGGGCAACCCUGAACGAGCAACGCCGCGUGCAGGAAGAAGGUUUUCGGAUCGUAAACUGCUUUUCGCGGGGAAGAGAACGGACGGUACCCGAGGAAUCAGCCCCGGCUAACUACGUGCCAGCAGCCGC
rnacentral:rRNA from 1 species